rnacentral:rRNA from 1 species
AUUGAACGCUGGCGGCGUGCUUAACACAUGCAAGUCGAUCGGUAACGCGGGGGCAACCCUGGCGACGAGAGGCGGACGGGUGAGGAACGCUUGGGAAUCUGCCUAUCAGCGGGGGACAACCCGGGGAAACUCGGGCUAAUACCGCAUACGCUCUACGGAGGAAAGCCGGGGACCGCAAGGCCUGGCACUGAAAGAUGAGCCCAAGGCGGAUUAGCUAGUGGGCGGGGUAACGGCCCACCAAGGCGACGAUCCGUAGCUGGUCUGAGAGGACGAUCAGCCACACUGGGACUGAGACACGGCCCAGACUCCUACGGGAGGCAGCAGUGAGGAAUAUUGGACAAUGGGGGAAACCCUGAUCCAGCGACGCCGCGUGGGUGAAGAAGGCCUGCGGGUUGUAAAGCCCUUUCGGUAGGGACGAAAGCUCUCGACCUAACACGUCGGGAGGUUGACUUAACCUACAAAAGAAGCACCGGCUAACUCUGUGCCAGCCGCCGCCGUAA